UACGUAGGUGGCAAGCGUUGUCCGGAUUUAUUGGGUUUAAAGGGUGCGUAGGCGGCCCUGUAAGUCAGUGGUGAAAUACUUUAGCUUAACUAGAGGGGUGCCAAUGAUACUGCAGGGCUUGAGUACAGAUGAGGUAGGCGGAAUUGACGGUGUAGCGGUGAAAUGCAUAGAUAUCGUCAAGAACACCGAUAGCGAAGGCAGCUUACUGGGCUGUAACUGACGCUGAUGCACGAAAGUGUGGGGAUCAAACAGG
rnacentral:rRNA from 1 species